rnacentral:rRNA from 1 species
GACGAACGCUGGCGGCGUGCUUAACACAUGCAAGUCGAACGAAGUGGAGAACGGCGGAGUAAUACGUGGGUAACCUGCCCUCCUGUUUGGGAUACGCCUUGGAAACGGGGUCUAAUACUGAAUAAAGGGGGAUGGGCUCGCGGCCUGUCGGCUUGUUGGUGGGGUAAUGGCCUGCCAAGGCGGUGACGGGUAGCCGGCCGGAGCGGGUGCCCGGCCACAUAGGGACUGAGCUGCCGCCCAGGCUCUUACGGGAGGGAGCAGUGGGGGCUAUUGCACAAUGUGCGAUGGCCUGAUGCAGCGACUCCGCGGGGGGGAUGAGGGCUUUCGGGUUGUAACCCUCUUUCGCAAUCGAACGGGUAGGUGGAGAAGAAGCGCCGGCUAACUACGUGCCAGCAGCCGCGGUAAUAC